GCCGAGGAACCCAGAAGCCCGGGCUGGGGCUGGGGCUGGGGCUGGGGCUGGGGCUGAUAAACACGCCAGAGGCAUAUCCGGCACGGUUCUCACUGCAGCGGCUUGCUCCACUGCCCAGGCAUGCGGGUUUGUUGUGGGAAGCCCUGGGGAGCCGAGAGGAAGAGCUUGGGAGAACAUGUGGGAAAUUGAGCCCGCCAAGAGAAAUGAAAAACACGUUAGCUGGUGUGAAGGGAAGAGGACGCAGAGACCAUCCAUAGCUUCAACGUUUCCGUCAUCCAUGGCAGAAAGGUGAAAGCGAACUUCUGCAAGGCCAGCCUGAGCCUGAGACCCAGGCCGCCUAAGCAAAAGGCCUCUGGAUUUUUUUUUUUCCUCUGUCAAAACUUGUGCACAGACAGCGACUGUGAUUGCUCUGGGCCAACGUGCAGGAUUUCCAGUUUGGCUCCUAGAGAGAGAGGGAGACACAGAAUCCGAAGCAGGCUCCAGGCUCUGAGCUGCCAGCACAGAGCCCGACGCGGGGCUUGAACCCACGCACCGUGAGAUCGUGACCCGAGCCACCCAGGCGCCCCAAGGUCUUAGCUGGUUUUAAGCUGAAAUCGUUACACGGGGGUUUCCCAGCGUGCGUUUGAUGUGAAGGAUCCUGCGGUCAAAUAAGCUUGGCGAGUGCUGGCAGCUUCAGCCUGGUCUGGGAGAGUCCGGGCGUAAAAGAACACCCUGGAGUUUCUGAGGAGGCCUCCAGGAAAGAGGUCUGGUUACCUUUUCUGGACAGAGUAUUUCCCGGGCGGAGUCAACUCUUUCUGGUAUAAAGUUUAUCCCCACACCUUGAAAUAGUGUUAACACGAGGUACUUCCGGAAAUGCUAACUCACACAACUUACUG